rnacentral:sRNA from 2 species
GCAUGCGUGGGUGGAUGUGAGUAUGGCAUCUUCCAGGGUGGCCCGGUAGGAAUUCAGCAUAAUGUCUGUUUCUAUAUCGUGAGCCCUGCGAAGCAACUGGAGAAGCUUCAGGCGGGAAUCACGCCUCCAAAAUGGAACAUCAGAUUCACUUGGACUUCGGGGGAUCUUUUGCAAGAUCAGCAUCUUGGUUAAAGAUCAGCACUGGUGCGAGGCCCAAUUUUCUUAUCUCCUCAUUCUUAAGGGAAAAAAAAAGGAAUGAAAAGACAAGCGAUAAAGGAAGAUAGUGAAAAUUAGUUGACGGAUUCAUUAUUUGACAUCCGUGGAUGGGACCAGUUGUUCUUAACGUCAGCUAGCUAGGGCCUAUGUCAGCGGGCGAUAUAAAACC